AUGCACGCAUUACCAAAUAGCUAACACUUGAGCUUCCUAGAGCAGGCUAGGGCUAAGCUAAGCUAACCAUGGUCGGGCCUUGUUGGUAUUUGUAAGGGAGUCCACCUGGGAAUACCAGGUGCAGUGUGUC
rnacentral:rRNA from 1 species